CCCCCAGGAGCACCUGGGGACCCUCAACCCCCCAAAACUGCGAGGGGGGCAGAGCCCAGGGUGGGAAAAUGCUGGAAAAGCCGAGGGGGAAAUCAAAAAUCAACAGGCAGGUAAAGGGGGGGCAGCAGGUGGGCUGGGGCAGCCAGGUGAGCAGGUCCUGAAGGCACAGAGCCCGGCAGGUGAGCAGGCCUGGCGUCUGGGAGGGGCCAGGUGAGCAGAUCCAGGUGAGCAGGUCCCACCAGGUGAGCAGAUCCGGGGUCUGGGAGGGUCCAGGUGAGCAGAUCCAGGUGAGCAGGUCCCACCAGGUGAGCAGAUCCAGACUGUGAGUGUCCAGGUGAGCAGAUCCAGGUGAGCAGGUCCCACCAGGUGAGCAGAUCAAGGGUCUGGGAGGGUCCAGGUGAGCAGAUCCAGGUGAGCAGGUCCCACCAGGUGAGCAGAUCAAGGGUCUGGGAGGGUCCAGGUGAGCAGAUCCAGGUGAGCAGG